rnacentral:lncRNA from 1 species
GGGAGGAAGUGAGAAGUUGACAUCCAUUAAGCACAAACACUGCUGCUGCUGCUCCGACCUUUACUGAAGAAAUUAGCAACUGGCUCUCUGCACGGCUGUGCCUCCUCCCUGCCUCAGUGGGAACCACCAAACUCUUGCCGGGGGAGCACUGGAGAGAGAGUCUGAUAAGCUUUGAAAAGAGGUGGCAAGGAAAAACAGCUCCCUGUGGACACUGCCGACAUAGAAAAAGGCCAAGACUAGCAACGCCGUUGGGAAGAAGGGGAUCCAAGAUAGGACCAAGUAGCAGGAAGCAGCCACAGCCAUACCACGAAGAGCUGUCAAUCCUACAGGCACUGGUGGGAGAGGGAGUGCUAGCCACCACCCCCGCCCCAAGGCCUUUUCCAACCACAGCACAGCCCCUUCCUGCUCCUCGGCCACUGCCACCCUCCAAACCACUCCAGCAGUCCCAGGGAAACCAGCCCUUCAUCUGACACAGAAGCCUCAAUCUCAUCCUGCUCUUCUAUGUUGCUGUACAGACAACACUGUCUUUUUUCAAGCAGAGCAUACAUUACCUAGAGUAUCCCCAGAGCAACAUUUCUUUCUUCUCCCAUUCCUGCCACUAACAAAACAGCCCCCCAAAGAAAAACUCAGCCAAAAGCUUAUUUCCACCAUGGAUUCUCUUUCCACCCAGAAGGCACGUGCUCUGGGGCACCAGACCACCGCACCCCCCUCAAUCAAAACAGGGGCACAAAAAAGCGUCCAGCGCUACGAGGGGAAACCAAUUUGCACAGUAGCAGCCAACAUGUGAAAAUACUUUCAUUGCAAAAUUGAAGAGUGUAGCUCACCAAAUACAUGCUGGAAUGCUAAUGUGAGGAAUUACACAGGUGGUUAUGCAAACAGUGAACUCAUGCUUCAAUUUGGCAGAAGGAUAAACACUUCUAGGAUCGUUUACAAGGUUCAAUUACCUAGAUCUGCCGGUUAAUUUCCUUUACAUCUGCGAGAGCUCCCCCAAAGUCGAUCAUUUUCAUACAGCAAAGUCACUGCUUGACACAUGGUCUACGUAGGCAAGAAAAGUAUAUACUCUACUAAAUUGACUCAACAUUCUUAAAUGAGCCUCUUACCGGAAGCUGACCUGGGCAGACAAUGAUUAUUCUACUGUAUCCUGCAACUUAAUUCAAACACAGUUAUUUAUGUGAAUAAUAUCUCUUAUCUAAUAUGUGCCAGGCACUAUUCUAAGAUGCUGGGGAUACAACAACGAAUGAAAUAGGCAAAAAUGCCUGCCUUCAAGAGGCUCACGUUCCACCGGAAGGAAAACAAUACAGUGACAUAAAUAAGGCAUAAGGCAUGUCAGAUGUGAUGCAGAAAAAUAAAGCAAGGAUGGAGAGCA